GUGCUCACUUUGGCAGCACAUAGAUUAAAAUUGGAACAAUACAGAAAAGAUUAGCAUGGCCCCAUACAAGGUUGACAUGUAAAUUUGUGAAGCAUUUGAUAUUUUA